AUUGCCUCCCACCCCACCUAUAACAUGACAUAUCCCUCUGUCACAAAAAAGGCAAUGUAGCGGAAUGGGCAUGUGCAAGUUACUUUUUAUUCCCUACAGUGGCUGUCCUUAUCUUCUCCCCUUGUUAUUUUGUGUGUUUUGCCGGUUAUUUCGUGUGGUUCUCCUUUGGCCGUUCGGGAGACUUCAUACGAAUGGAAUCCAUUCGUCUCCCGAGCAAGGACCACCCCUGUACCCCAUUAGAACGUUAACACCAACCACUUAAGUGCGAAACCGCAAGGGAAACAAUUAAUGAAUGCACUCUUGGGUGGCCGCCAUUAUGUGUAACCAAACACGUGGCUGGGAGAAUCGCGGCAAUAUUGUCUCCUCCGAACGAGGGCAGCGGUACUUGGUUGUCGAGUGCCUGGAACUAUUUUCGGCUUGGCGCGAACACCGGUAAACUGCCGACCACCUACACAGGAACCUCACGAACAGAGACCGGCCAGGGCACCUAAUCUCCUGGAACUAUUCUCGACUACCACCUCGUGUCUGGCCAGUCAAAUCUUCACGAUGCCAUUCCCAUUCUACCGAACCGAUCUGAGUGAUUCUUGGAUAUGUUGGUCUCUCAG